AAAUAUCUCAUUUGCAAGAAUAUAACUCAUUUUGAAAGAAGAUAAGGAGAGUUGCUAGAGAGAUAAGGGAAGGAAAAGUCUUGAAGCUUUGAUCUCCAUCCCCUUCAAGCUUAGGUCUCAAGUAAUUUUUGGAGUAUUCAAGGGUUUUGACAAGGAGUAUUUGGGUGAGCUAAAUAGCUCAGAUUUGGAUGUUUUAGAGUAGUUAAAGGUAUGUGAAUAGUACAAAGCGCAAGUGGUGGAAUCUUGAAGGUGACUUUUGAAACUAAGAGAAAAACUUAGUCCUAGUAUUGAAGCAUAUCACGAGCUUUUGGUUAUUUGGAUAUUCUCUUCGACCCUUUGUAUUUACGGUAAACCAUUGUGCUUGGUUUUGGUGCUUCUGAUGCAUUUUGGACAUAUUACUCUUGAUUGUAAAUAUUUAGUAGUGAUGAUUUGAUGAGUUUGGGAAGAACUAGUUCUUUGUUGUGGAAUUAUUAUGUAUUCGAGUGUUGUUAUGAAGGUUUCGAGAAGUAUGUAUGGUUAGGCUUCGUAUUGUUACAGGUUUUCACGUAACGAUACGGCCGGGUCAUGUCCUAGAAGUAGGGCGUGACAUGCAUAUUUAGAUAACAUGUUUAAUUGUAAAAUAUUGAAUUCUACUUUUUAAGUUGAAGAUGAAUAUAUAUAUCCGAUAUUUAUUUAAA